AAAAAAAAAACGAAAAAAAAAGAAAAGAAAAGAAAGAAAGAAAGAAAGAAAGAAAGAAGGUUAUUGAUUAAGGGGCAUUAAUUACAAGGCUGUUUCACUUGUUGCAAAGCUGAAGACCCCUUGUUGCAAGGUUGUUUCACUUGUUACAAGACCGUUUUACGUAUUACAAGGCUGCUUAGCUUGUUCUUAUUUCUCCUUGCUUUCUAGUUGUUUCUAUUACAUAUCCUUUACUUCCUUUUGAAGUCUUCUUAUGUUCUUGAUGCUUUAAGACCAUUUUUCUUGUGAGUACCAUUUGCCUCAUCGAAGUCAAAAUUCUGAUUUUCUUGGAGAUUUGCCACCAUCCAUCUGAUCGCUCUUUGUGAUUUGUUGAUUUUGAUUCUUUCAAGAACAUAAAGAGGGCUGGCUUGAGUGGUAAAAGGCAAGAGUGUGAGUUCAUCAUCAAGAAAAAGCCAUAAAAGAGUGUCCACCCGAGAGAGGAGUGUGUGAGGACCUAUUCUGUUUAUACUAAUCUUUUGAUUGCAGCAUACAAAGAUGAGUAGUGGAGGUAGUGAACAACCAGAUGUUGAUAUGAAGUUAUGGAUGAAAGCCAUUGCUGAUCAACUUACUAAGCUUGGUGCACGAAUGGAUGAUUUGGAAUCACCAAGCAGAAUCAAACCUUUGAGGGGGCAGAUGUUUGAAGAUGAUGAAGAAGAUUUAGAUUAUGAAUCUUACUCUAGAAGGGGAAAGAAGGCCGAUGAUUCAAAAGAUAAUAAUCUGGGCAGCAUCAAGAUGAAGAUUCCUAUCUUUCAAGGAAAGAAUGAUCCCGAACUUUACUUGGAAUGGGAGAGAAAAGUUGAACAUGUGUUUGAUUGUCACAACUAUUCAAAUGAGAAAAAGGUGAAAUUGGCAGCCGUUGAGUUCACGGAUUAUGCAAGCAUAUGGUGGGAUCAAUUGAUGAUUAGUCGGCGAAGGAUUGGAGAAAGGCCAAUUCGGUCAUGGGAAGAUAUGAAAUUGGUAAUGCGCAAGAGAUUUGUACCUAGCCAUUACUAUAGAGAUUUACAUAGAAAGUUACAAGGGCUGGUUCAAGGCUCCAUGAGUGUGGAAGACUAUUAUAAAGAAAUGGAGAUGGCAAUGAUUAAAGCUAAUAUAGAGGAAGAUCGAGAGGCUACCAUGGCAAGAUUUAUUGGAGGCUUAAACAAAGAGGUUGCUGAUGUGGUUGAAUUGCAACACUAUGUGGAGAUGGAGGAGCUGUUGCACAAGGCCAUCAAAAUAGAAAAGCAAAUCAAGUCCAAAGGAUCCAAAUCGGGUUUGGCUUCUAGUUCCACAUGGAAGUCUAAUUGGAAGGAUAACAAAUCUGCCUCAAAAACAAAAGAAGAUGCAAAGCCAAAAGAUUCGGUUGCUAUUUCAAAAGGUAAAACCGAAACUAACACUUCUUCUAAAUCACGUAAUGUUAAGUGUUUUAGGUGCCAAGGAUUUGGGCAUAUUGCUUCCCAAUGCCCAAACAAGAGGAUUAUGAUUAUGUUGGAGAAUGGUGACAUUGAAAGUGCUAGUUCAAGUGAGGAUGAGAUGCCACCCUUAGAAAAUUGCAGUGAUAUUGACAUUGAAGAACCUGUACAUGGAGAUAUGUUGGUAACAAGAAGAGCACUUAGCAUCCAGCCUAAGGAUGAUGGUGAUAAGGAGCAACGUGAACAUAUUUUCCAUACUAGAUGUCAUGUGAAGGGAAAGGUAUGUACCAUGAUUAUUGAUAGCGGAAGCUGCACUAAUGUUGCUAGUACUUUGUUAGUAGAUAAGCUGGAGUUACCCACCAUGAAGCAUCCUAAUCCAUACAAGUUGCAAUGGUUAAAUGAAUGUGGAGAAGUGAGGGUAAACAAGCAAGUGCUCGUUUCAUUUUCAAUUGGCAAAUACACAGAUGAGAUUCUUUGUGAUGUGGCACCAAUGCAUGCUAGUCAUAUUUUGCUUGGACGACCAUGGCAGUUUGAUAGGAAGGUUACACACAAUGGAUACAAAAACCAUUAUUCUUUUAUGAUGAACAACCGCACUGUAGUCCUAACCCCUCUCAAACCUUUGCAAGCUUAUGAAGAUCAGAUUCGGAUAGCGAGAGAGUGUAAAAAGAGAGAAGGUGAGUCCGAGAGGAAAAAUGCAAAUGAAAGGAGUGAGAUUGAGAGCAGAGAGAAAAGUAUUCAAAAAAAAGAGAAAAGUAAAAAAAUGAGUGUGUUUGCUGAAAAAAAUGAGGUUAAGAGUGUUAUGUUCUCAAGACAGCAACUACUUGUACUUAUGUACAAGGAUGUUUAUCUUUCUACUAACGAUCUUAACCCCUCCUUGCCUAGUGUUGUUGUGACUUUAUUGCAGGAAUUUGAGGACAUAUUUCCAAAAGAGAUUCCUAAUGGACUACCACCCUUAAGAGGCAUUGAGCAUCAAAUAGACUUCAUGCCCGGUUCUACCAUUCCAAACAGACCUGCAUAUAGAGCUAAUCCCGAAGAAACAAAGGAAAUCCAAAGGCAAGUGGAUGAGCUGGUGAAAAAGGGAAUUGUCAGAGAAAGUCUUAGCCCAUGUUCGGUUCCUGUCAUCCUAGUCCCAAAGAAAGAUGGAACAUGGCGCAUGUGUGUGGAUUGCCGAGCCAUCAACAAAAUAACAGUUAAGUAUAGACAUCCUAUCCCAAGAUUAGAUGAUAUGCUUGAUGAAUUACAUGGCUCUUGUUUGUUUUCUAAAAUUGAUUUGAGAAAUGGCUACUAUCAAAUUCGUAUGAAAGAGGGAGAUGAAUGGAAGACAUCAUUCAAAACUAAAUAUGGAUUGUAUGAGUGGUUAGUGAUGCCUUUUGGUUUAACUAAUGCACCUAGUACUUUCAUGAGAUUGAUGAAUCAUGUUUUGCGUGCUUUCAUAGGUCAAUUUGUGGUAGUUUACUUUGAUGAUAUUUUAGUCUAUAGUAAGAACUUGGAUGAACAUGAACAACAUUUGCAUGCUGUUUUUAGCAAAUUGAAAGAACACCAAUUAUAUGCUAAUCUUAAGAAGUGUACAUUUUGCAUGGAAUCUGUUGUAUUUCUUGGUUUUGUUGUUAGUUCUCAAGGUAUUAGCAUGGAUGAGGAGAAGGUGAAGGCAAUCAGGGACUGGCCUACACCUAAGAAUGCGAACGAGGUAAGAAGUUUUCAUGGUUUAGCAAGUUUUUAUCGAAGGUUUGUUAAAAAUUUCAGUUCUAUUGCUGCACCUUUAAAUGAACUUGUUAAAAAGAAUGUUGUUUUUAAGUGGAAUGAUCAGCAUGAACAAGCUUUCACUGAUUUGAAAGAUAAGCUAACUAAUGCACCUUUGUUAAGUUUGCCUAACUUUGAUAAAGCUUUUGAAGUUGAAUGUGAUGCAUCCGGAAUUGGAAUAGGAGCUGUCUUGAUGCAAGAUUCCAAACCAAUUGCUUAUUUUAGUGAAAAGCUAAGUGGGGCAGCCUUGAAUUAUCCAACAUAUGACAAAGAACUUUAUGCAUUAGUGAGAACUCUUCAAACAUGGCAGCAUUACUUGUGGCCGAGGGAAUUCAUCAUUCAUUCUGAUCAUGAGAGCUUGAAGUUCUUGAAAUCCCAGGGUAAGCUUAAUAAGAGGCAUGCUAAGUGGCUGGAGUUCAUAGAAACAUUUCCUUAUUUCAUCAAGUACAAACAUGGAAAAGAAAAUAUCGUUGCUGACGCGUUGUCUCGAAGAAAAACAAAUCUCAUACAAGAGUCAGCUGCAGAAUUUUGUGCAGAAGAAAAUUGUUGAGGUACCAAGAUAUACCGGUGUUUGCGAGGGUUUACCUCAUGCUCCUCGCUCUAAGGCUAUAGUUACAGUUGAUGGAAAAAAUUUUGAGAGUUCACAAUAUUUCAGCACACUGAAGGAAGCAGAACAUGAUGCUGCAAAAGUUGCUUUGAUGUCUUUUUCUAUGGAAGAAAAUCAGCUGGGUGAAACAGGUUUCUACAAAAACCUUUUACAGGAAUUAGCACAGAAAGAAGGCUUUUCCUUGCCAACAUACACGACUGUCAGGGAUGGUGCUUGUCAUAUGCCCAUUUUCUCCUCCACUGUUGAGGUUGAAGGUGAAAGUUUUCAGGGAUAUGUUGCAAAGACUAAAAAACAGGCAGAAAUGAAUGCUGCAAAGGUUGCUUGGUGUCAGCUCAAUGAACGUAGAAUAUGCAGAUUUCCU